GGCUAUGAUGAGUAAACUUUCUUCUGAUACCACUUGUUUGAGAAGCGGUUUCUUGAGCACCCUUCUGUGACAAGAUUUAGCAAUGAGUUGAGCC
rfam:Musa acuminata subsp. malaccensis Doubled-haploid Pahang (DH-Pahang) genomic chromosome, chr1